UGCGUUACUAUUGUUUGAGCGUGUAAAUAAACGUAAAAGCAGUCAAAUACAACAUACGUUAUAUCGACAUUUGUUAAGGAAACGUAGAUUUACUACAAACUCCAAAAAUGGUAUCUUUGUGGGCUCUGACAGUUUUCCUCGUAUUGGGCUAUACUAGUAUCGACUUUGUUCAAUCGUGUCAAUUGGAGACAUCAGCCGCCAGUGGUACAUGUAUGAAUGUAUUAAAGACGGAGGAUUUAGAGCAAGAUGGUUGGAGGAUGGUAUUUAGAGGGACAUCUGGCAAUGGGCAUAGUGUUUACCAUGCUUGGAUUGACGG